rnacentral:lncRNA from 10 species
CUCAUGAAAUGGAGAGGGGUAUGUAAGAGCAGCCAUGGCUUCCUGUGCUGCUAGGACACUUUCCUCACUUAGAGGAUGAGCUUUCCAGCUAGUUAGCUUUCCGGUGUAUUCUUUUUCACAACCAAGUUAACCUGGAGCAGAGACAGCCCUGGGCCUUUUGUGGCUGCUCCUCCAGAAGGUCGCCUGUCCACAGACUACUCCCUGGCCCUGAGAAGCAGUGAUUCAGGAGAAGAUCAACAACAGGAGACAGAGGGACCCCUCUAGAGGCAGGAGGAAAGAUAAAUGGCCACAGGCUGCUGUCAUCUAGGCCAGGGUUCUGGCAGCAAUGAAAACACGUCUGCAGGAGGAGAAAGAAGUGCUUUUGAAUCCAUCUUACUCAUCGUCUGUCUCUUGUCUCUUCAAAGUGAAUGCAGUUGGAAGGAAAGGGACAGGCCAGGGCAGAAGUCACAAUGGCUGCUUGGACCGUGGAAGCCUGAAGCCUGGUCCCUAAAGUGAAUAUGGUCUUGGCAACAUCAGAACUGCCAAGAGCCAAGGUUUCCUUAUUGGCUAAAUUAAAUCACAAUCCUCCCCUGGCUAACCUAGAACUCUGGGAAUCAAAUAUACCAAUAAAAUGUCUGUAAAAGCACUGUUUGAAUUUGCAUUUGCACCACUACUCUUAGCAGAGGAAGCGGCAGCCUGAGGCUGGUGUGAGCACUGGGCUGGGAGUCAGCGGUUCUAAGCGUGAGCCCCAGCUCUGCAACCUACCAGCCUAUUUGGGACUCUCCAUUUCUCAUCUGAAAAUGCGUAGGCCGGAAAUAGCUGCUGCCCUGCCUGCUGUCAUCAUCUCAGUCACUGAACAAGUGUAUGGGGAUCAUCAGUCUGUAUCAGGUACCCUUGUAGACAUGGGACUGGCAUUGUGUGUUCAGACACGGGCCCUGACUGCACGUCUCACAUCCCAGUGGUGAGGAGACAGACAGCAAACAGGUAGGUAAUUAAAUAAAUACGAUCAUUUAAUCUUCUUUAUGUGUGUGGUGAUGCUGGCAUAAACAGACAUACUGCUCUGCCAGUCCUAUAAAAGUCUAGCACACACAAUUAUAUUCUGUACAUAAUAAGUGAUAAUGAUAAUAAAAGGUUUACUGAUUUACAUAUUUACUAUACUAUACUUGUUAUGGUUGUAGAGUGUGGGCUCCUUCUACUUAUAAAAAUAAGUUAACUGUAAAAUGGUCUCAGGCAUGUCCUUCAGGAGGAAUUCCAGAAGAAGGCAUCGCUAUCACAGGAGAUGACAGCUCCAUGUUAUUGCCCCUGAAGACCUUCCAGUGGGACAGGAUGUGGAGGUGUAAGACAGUGAUAGUGACAGUCCUGACCCUCUGCAGGCCUUGGCUAAUGUGUGUGUCUGUGUCUUAGAUUUUUUUUUUCCGGAGACAGAGUCUUGCUCUGUCGCCCAGGCUGGAGUGCAAUGGUACGAUCUUGGCUCACUGCAACCUCCGCCUCCUGGGUUCAAGAAAUUCUCCUGCCUCAGCCUCCUGAGUAGCUGGAAUUACAGGUGCCUGCCACCACACCCAGCUAAUUUUUGUAUUUUUAGUGGGCGAGGUUUCACCAUGUUGGCCAGACUAGUCUCAAACUCCUGGCCUCAAGUGAUCUGCCCUCCUUGGCCUCCCAAAGUGCUGGGGUUACAGCAUGAGCCACUGUGCCCAGCCUGUGUCUUAGUUUUCAACUGCAAAGUUUAAAAUGUUAAAAAAAGAAUUUGAAAACAGAAAAAAUCUUACAGAAUAAGGAUACAAAGAGAAAAUAUUUUUUACAGCUGGACAAUGUGUUUGUAUUCUAAGCUGAGUCAUUACAAAAGAGUCAAAAAGUUAAAAGCAUAGAAAUUUAUAAAGUAAAAAGUUACAGGAAGCUUAUUUUCUUUCUGAAGUUCAGUCUGGGUGCACAGUAGGCUCCACCAUCUGGCCUGGGUGCGCAGUGGGCUCCGCCAUCCGGCCUGGGUGCACAGUGGGUUCUGCCAUCCGGCCUCGGUGCGCAGUGGGCUGUGCCAUCCAGGUGUGUGUAAGUGUGCUCUGUGGUGUUCACACAAUGGCAAAAUCACCUAAUGACACAUUUCUCAUAACAGAGCCCUGUUGUUAAGGGAUGCGUGGCUAUAAGAAUGUCGCGUUCAGGGAGAAAUUGGGGCUGAGGACACAGAUGUGGCAGGAAUUGUGAAUUUGGUCGUUAAAGUUGUGGCACCUAAGGGACACACCCAGAUAGCAGGAGCGAGGAAAAGUCAAGAUCCAGCUCUAGACGAGCCCACAGGAAGAGGACUGGCUGAGAAGGGAGAGCUGACACAAGACAAGGAGAGGGAGGGAGGUGGCGCAGGUGAAAGGAGCCGGGGUGGAGUGAUGCAUGGUACCCCCUGCUGUUAGGGUGCAAUGAAAUACAAAAUAUAAUCCUUUCAAUAAGUUUUAAAGCACUGUUUAACUGUUAGUCACAGUGGGCCCCUGGGUGUGGGCGGAGGGAACAGCUGACCACAGCAAUGACGAAGAGAUGACAAGAAGCUACCUGGGCCACUGGUUCCUUGGCUCCCUGGUCCUGGAGGAGGCUGGGCUAGACUUGGGAGGAGGGGAGGAGGUGUCUCCUGCAGCCACCAGGACCAUGGCCGCCCUCCCUCACUUGCCGUGGGCCUCCCUCCCUCUGCUCUUCCCUCGCUCGCCACCUGGGGGUACUGGGUCACUUACUUCCACACUCAUUCUUCAAUGUCCACGAGCAAACCUGGAAAUGAGGGUGGCUAUACUCAGGACAGGAUCAGGGUCCAUGAUGUUGGGUGUUUACAGCGCCUCCCAAAAACGUCGUGAUACAGGACCAGGAACCUCCAGCGAGGGCCCUUCCCAGUCACACGGCAGCAGUGCAUGUGCACGUGGGGCCCAGGAUGCUUCAGAUCUGAAGGAACAC